rnacentral:SRP_RNA from 1 species
GGAGGGGAGCGUGGCGAUCCUGCGCCUCCCCCCAGCCGCGGCGGGGGCCGGCGGGACCGCGCGGGCGGUGGGGUCGGAGCCAGA